GUACAGAGUAGGGAGAGCAGUUCCCUUUGGUCUCAAGUGCUGCCCUCUGUGUCAAGGGAGCCCCCUGAAAGGAGAAGGAAUUUGCUUAUCUUCCAAGAUCAACCAAGAUCAGCAUAAAAAACACCUUGUGCCCUCCAGGAAUGUCCUGCAUGUGUUGCCAGAACUGGAAGACAAAAGGCAAGUGAAGGUGCAAGCCAGCAAACUGGGAACUUGCAGAUGAAGGGCAGAAUCAAGAGAGCCUUGGGCUAACAGGGUAUUUGUGCAUGCAGGAGGGAAGAGCUGCCCAGCUGAGAUUUAGCAGUGAUAGGAGAAAAGGAAUUUCUCUGUGUUCCUAAGGGAGGACUGGGACUUGGAUUUUAGCCAACCCACAAACCAUUGAGUAUGGUUGGACUGCAAAGAGCAAAGGAAAAGUCACAUGUUGCCAAGACUCAACAAUAACUUCCUUUUUAGGACUUUUGUUUUAUCUGGCUCAUCCUGCACAGCUGUUUUCUCCCUAAUUACUUAGUUCUUCACUCCUGUGUAAUGCAUUAUAAGUGAGUUAAGUCUAGAUGUUUGAGGGCAUGUCUUUGUACUUCUUCUUCAAGGAAAGUGAGAGCAAUUCUACUUUUCAAUUUGGAGUCCCAUCACACAGCAAUAUGGUUGUGUGGGAGCUGUUGUCCUCAGUGUUCUGCAAAGAAGCUUGGUACAGCCGCUUGAAUUUGGUCUCCAUGGACAAGACUGCUAAGUUGCCUCGGAGUUGGACUUUGACAAGAAAAAUGUAUUCUGAAAUCUACCAAGAAGAAAGAUCUAAUGCUCUUAAUUUAAUUAAUAACAUUUUUUUUCCCUCUUUUAUUCACUGUACAAAUGCUUAUUAGCUCAAAUGCUGAGGAGUAUUGGAUGACUCAGACUCCUGGGAGGUCUGCAUGAGUUUCACCCCUCUUCUUUAUAGCAUCAAAGUAAAAAGUGUUUUUGUUGGCUCAUAUUCCCAUCUCACUUUUAUUUUAUUUUUUUUUUCUCUCUCUCAUUUUCCUUUGUUUUUUUCCUCUUUCUGUUUGAUAUGGCUUAUAUACCAGGAAGUAUAUAUGAGCAUUAAACAUCAAGAACCUGAAUGCAUUGAUCACUUCAUAUCAGUAAGAGUAUUCCACUUGUGGAGGAGAACAAAAGCUUUGUACAACACAUAUCUUGCAACAAAACCUUUUAAAAGAGAUUUUUCAUGUUGAUGAAAACAUUAAAAGGUACCAAACAAUGAAAAUUGUGUUACAACAAGAAAUGUGUGUGGUUCUGUAGACUCAAAGUAAUACUGCAGUAUCAACUUCUGUUACUGAGUACAGUUUUGCAAUUUCUGCUAAGGUUGCGAAGCUCUGUCUCACUAAUUUUUUAGUGUGUUUCCAGCUGUAAUCACUCUUGCAUAAAAAGUCAGCUGCUACAAAACUGGCAUACUUCUGCUGUUAAUAUUUUGAAGGCUACUCCCUUGCCAUUGUCAAAUAUUUGUUUACAACAGAGCUGUGUGAUUAAUUAUUUUUCCAGGACGUCCAUAAAAUCUGAAAGGGAUUCCUUUUUGUAUGAAGUAGGAUGAAUUUUUCAUAAUUAUCAUCAAAACAAACAACCCCUCCCCCAGAUUCCAUACUUGGCCAAAGAUUUUUUUUUUCCUAAUUUGAAAGAAAAGAAAAAGAAUAUGUAAGUGUAUUUAACAAAAGCGAAAUAGUUGAUGGACUUACACAGCAUUCAAGAAAUAACAUUGUCUCCCAUGUUACAAAAGGGCA
rnacentral:lncRNA from 1 species